rnacentral:tRNA from 1 species
GGGGAUAUAGCUCAGUUGCUAGAGCACCUGCCUUGCAUGCACAAAGCCCUGGGUUCAAACCAUAGCACCACCA